ACAGCAACCUGUCAGGUGCUGAGUCAGAGCUCCAGGACAUGCCUUCCUGUCAUAACUGAUGGAUGGGAAUCUAAGAUAAAGGGAAAGGAGCGCGCCCAAAUGCUGUCUGCAGCAAGAAAAUCUGUUCUGUCGUUGCUAUUAUGCUCUGGGAGCUUCUGCACCUCUUGUUGUGGCCUCAGGUCAGCCAAAGGCUUGCAGGAUUGCUUACAUCUAGUUUCAGCAAAGCAUUCAAUUGUGUGCUUAACAUUAAAUUCAGCAGGACUUUUACACACACUUAACUUCAGCGCUUGCCAUUAUCAGUAAGAGUGGUUUGCUCCAUUGGGAUUACAGGAAGGAAAAACAGAUUAUCCCGGUGAGGUGGAUAUCUGUGGAUGCCUGUAUUUGUACCAACAUCAAAGGAAUCUUUUUUUCAACUCUGGAGCACUCACAUCAAAACCACAAUGCUUCCUUUGCAAUCAUGCAGUUAGCAAAGGAAAGAAAGCAAGCUCUUACCUCCCUCUGAAAACAGCCCACAUAAUUCCACAUCCCAGCUGCUCCAUCAGGAUGAGGAAGGGCACCUGGAACUGCCCCAUCUCCCCUUGAUGUUGCCAAAGAGGGGUGGAGAGGAAAGGUUUGUUUCUGUGGAAGGAAGUCUGUGAAGAUCCACCUGCCCUGCUGUUUGAGUCCCCCUUUUUCUAUUCUCCCCUUGGAAAAAGUCAUGUCUCCUCACUGUAUCUGUCUUUUCUCAUUCACUAGUUUCCAGUUAAUCACCCAGUGCCUGACCAUUCCUCUACUCAACUUUGGCAGGAUAGAACCUGCUACUUCCAUUUUUGACACAAAAUUCAUAUUAAUAAGAGCCAAGCCUAUACUGACUAACAGUCUAAUGCUAAUCCAGAUAUACUGCCACAUUUUUGCUUAGGAUCCACCUGAGAUACUGUGUUACUUGGCACCCACAGAGCAUGGGAUUUCACAGUUGUAUUGAUUUCUGACACAGUACUUCAUUAAAGUCACCAAAAGAAGAUGGGGUAGGGGAAAUAUAGAACAGACCUACUAGCAAAUUAACAAUUGGAUGGAAGCAUGUGAUCAUCCUUUAUGAUAGAUAUGGGCUACCAGCUGAUUCAUGUAUCUGUGUCGAUCAUGUGUGAGCUAGGUCUGUAAAAGGGAAUUACAUUCAGUUGACAGAAGUCUGCAUGUGAUACAACAUUAUAUAUUGAUAGUCCUUGUUUGUUAACUUAUUUUCUUUUCAUUUGCCACUGUUAUAAGAGGAGCAUUUAAAUGCAUAAGAUUUAUUCAUAGUAGCAGUAAUGUUAGCCUUUCUAGCCUUUAUGAGUAUUCACUUGAUUGAAGCCUGGAAAAGCCUCAUGCUCUAAUUAGAGACUCUCUGCAUUAGAAUUCAGAUCUGUUGCAGUCCACGUUUUGAAGGCCAGUUCUUCAGAAAUGAUACCCAAGCUAACAUUUUUCCCAACGAACCACACUAUAUUACUACAUAGAGAGAUCUCAGGGGCAAAUUUUCCAUUUGUUUGCAGUACUGUGUGGAGUAGGCUUGAGUUCUGGACAGACUGGCACCAGAAGGCUGGAAGGAAUUCAGAGAAAUCCAUCAGUGAUGAUUAAAGAUUUAGAUUUCACAAAGACAUUUUAAAAACUAAUUAUAUAGAAUUUGUCUGGAGGAUUAAGUAACAGUAUGCCAGUGGAGAAUUAUUCUCACAGGAGAAAGCUAAUUUCUGUUCCUAAAUAAAUAAGUAAAUAAAU
rnacentral:lncRNA from 7 species